GACCGAUGUUAAACACUCCCCAGACGGGGGA
rnacentral:sRNA from 1 species